rnacentral:tRNA from 1 species
GGCCCUAUCGUCUAGCGGCUAGGACACAUCCUUCUCAAGGAUGGAACCAGAGUUCGAUUCUCUGUAGGGUCA